UGGGGAAUCUUGGACAAUGGGCGCAAGCCUGAUCCAGCCAUGCCGCGUGAGCGAUGAAGGCCUUAGGGUUGUAAAGCUCUUUCACCGGUGAAGAUAAUGACGGUAGCAGGUAAAGAAACCCCGGCUAACUCCGUGCCAGCAGCCGCGGUAAUACGGAGGGGGUUAGCGUUGUUCGGAAUUACUGGGCGUAAAGAGUUCGUAGGCGGACUAGCAAGUUAGAGGUGAAAUCCCAGGGCUCAACCUUGGAACUGCCUCCAAAACUAUUGGUCUAGAGUUCGAGAGAGGUGAGUGGAAUUCCAAGUGUAGAGGUGAAAUUCGUAGAUAUUUGGAGGAACACCAGUGGCGAAGGCGGCUCACUGGCUCGAUACUGACGCUGAGGUGCGAAAGUGUGGGGAGCAAACAGGAUUAGAUACCCUGGUAGUCCACACCGUAAACGAUGAAUGCCAGUCGUCGGGUAGCAUGCUAUUCGGUGACACACCUAACGGAUUAAGCAUUCCGCCUGGGGAGUACGGUCGCAGAUU
rnacentral:rRNA from 1 species